AUUGAACGCUGGCGGCAGGCCUAACACAUGCAAGUCGAGCGAGAGGCGGACGGGUGCGUAAUGUCUGGGAAACUGCCUGAUGGAGGGGGAUAACUACUGGAAACGGUAGCUAAUACCGCAUAACAUCAGAUGUGCCCAUGUGGGAUGAGCUAGUUGGUGGGGUAACGUCCUACCAAGGAGACGAUCCGUAACUGGUCUGCGAGGAUGAUCAAGCAGACUGGAACGGAGACAAGGUCCAGACUCGUACGGGAGGCAGCAGUGGGGAAUAUUGGACAAUGGGCGAAAGACGGAUCCAGCCAUGCCGCGUGUGUGAAGAAGGUCUUCGGAUUGUAAAUCACUUUAAGUUGGGAGGCGUUACCUACAGAAUAAGCACCGGCUAACUUCGUGCCAGCAGCCGCGGUAAUUC
rnacentral:rRNA from 1 species